GACGAACGCUGGCGGCGUGCCUAAUACAUGCAAGUAGAACGCAGUUGCGAACGGGUGAGUCACGCGUAGGUAACUGCCUCAUAGCGGGGGAUAACUCUUGGAAACGAUAGCUAAUACCGCAUACUGUGCGUUGGACCUUCGUUGUAUUACCUAGUUGGUGAGGUAAAGGCUCACCAAGGCGACGAUACAUAGGCGACCUGAUAGGGUGAGCGGCCAACCUGGGACUAGGACACGGGCCAGAAUACUAAGGGAGGGAAGAGUAGGGGAAAUUCGGCAAUGGAAGGAAGUCUGACCGGGCAGCGCCGGGUGAGUGAAGAAGGUUUUCGGAUCGAAAAGCUAUGUUGUUGGAGAAGCGGUAACUAACCAGAAAGGGACGGCUAACUACGUGCCAGCAGCCGCGGUAAUAC
rnacentral:rRNA from 1 species